rnacentral:rRNA from 1 species
CGGACGGGUGAGUAACACGUGGAUAACCUACCUAUAAGACUGGGAUAACUUCGGGAAACCGGAGCUAAUACCGGAUAAUAUUUUGAACCGCAUGGUUCAAAAGUGAAAGACGGUCUUGCUGUCACUUAUAGAUGGAUCCGCGCUGCAUUAGCUAGUUGGUAAGGUAACGGCUUACCAAGGCAACGAUGCAUAGCCGACCUGAGAGGGUGAUCGGCCACACUGGAACUGAGACACGGUCCAGACUCCUACGGGAGGCAGCAGUAGGGAAUCUUCCGCAAUGGGCGAAAGCCUGACGGAGCAACGCCGCGUGAGUGAUGAAGGUCUUCGGAUCGUAAAACUCUGUUAUUAGGGAAGAACAUAUGUGUAAGUAACUGUGCACAUCUUGACGGUACCUAAUCAGAAAGCCACGGCUAACUACGUGCCAGCAGCCGCGGUAAUACGUAGGUGGCAAGCGUUAUCCGGAAUUAUUGGGCGUAAAGCGCGCGUAGGCGGUUUUUUAAGUCUGAUGUGAAAGCCCACGGCUCAACCGUGGAGGGUCAUUGGAAACUGGAAAACUUGAGUGCAGAAGAGGAAAGUGGAAUUCCAUGUGUAGCGGUGAAAUGCGCAGAGAUAUGGAGGAACACCAGUGGCGAAGGCGACUUUCUGGUCUGUAACUGACGCUGAUGUGCGAAAGCGUGGGGAUCAAACAGGAUUAGAUACCUGGUAGUCCACGCCGUAAACGAUGAGUGCUAAGUGUUAGGGGGUUUCCGCCCCUUAGUGCU